rnacentral:rRNA from 1 species
AAGAGUUGCGUAGGUGGCAUAGUAAGCAAAUAGUGAAAGACUGAGGCUCAACCUCUUACACAUUAUUUGAACUGCUAAGCUAGAGCAUGAGAGAGGUAGAUGGAAUUUCUAGUGUAGGAGUGAAAUCCGUAGAUAUUAGAAGGAACACCGAUGGCGUAGGCAGUCUACUGGCUCAUUGCUGACACUAAGGCACGAAAGCGUGGGGAGCGAACGGGAUUAGAUACCCCGGUAGUCCACGCCGUAAACUAUGGAUGCUAGCUGUUAGAAGUAUCGACCCUUCUAGUAGCGAAGCUAACGCGUUAAGCAUCCCGCCUGUGGAGUACGAGCGCAAGCUUAAAACAUAAAGGAAUUGACGGGGACCCGCACAAGCGGUGGAGCGUGUUGUUUAAUUCGACGGUAAGCGAAGAACCUUACCAGGGUUUGACAUCUAGGGAAAGUCUCUGAAAGGAGACCGUGCCUUCGGGAACCCUAAGACAGGUGUUGCAUGGCCGUCGUCAGCUCGUGUCGUGAGAUGUUUGGUUAAGUCCAUCAACGAGCGCAACCCUUAUAGUUAGUUGAAUUUCUCUAGCUAGACUGCCCCGGCAACGGGGAGGAAGGAGGGGAUGAUGUCAGGUCUGUAUUACCCUUACACCCUGGGCCACAAACACGCUACAAUGGCCGGUACAAAGGGCAGCUAAGCCGCGAGGCGGAGCAAAUCCCAUCAAAGCCGGUCUCAGUUCGGAUUGCAGGCUGAAACUCGCCUGCAUGAAGCUGGAAUCGCUAGUAACGGUAGGUCAGCACACUACCGUGAAUACGUUCCCGGGUCUUGUACACACCGCCCGUCAAACCAUGAAAGUCGCCAAUACCCGAAGCGCGAGUUUAUCUCGUUCUAAGGUAGGGGAGAUGAUUGGGGUUAAGUCGUAACAAGGUA